rnacentral:rRNA from 1 species
UAGGGAAUCUUCCGCAAUGGGCGAAAGCCUGACGGAGCAACGCCGCGUGAGUGAUGAAGGUCUUCGGAUCGUAAAACUCUGUCAUUAGGGAAGAACAAAUGUGUAAGUAACUAUGCACGUCUUGACGGUACCUAAUCAGAAAGCCACGGCUAACUACGUGCCAGCAGCCGCGGUAAUACGUAGGUGGCAAGCGUUAUCCGGAAUUAUUGGGCGUAAAGCGCGCGUAGGCGGUUUUUUAAGUCUGAUGUGAAAGCCCACGGCUCAACCGUGGAGGGUAAUUGGAAGCUGGAAAACUUGAGUGCAGAAGAGGAAAGUGUAAUUCCAUGUGUAGCGGUGAAAUGCGCAGAGAUAUGGAGGAACACCAGUGGCGAAGACUACUUUCUGGUCUGUAACUAACGCUGAUGUGCGAAAGCGUGGGAAUCAAACAGG